AAGACACAGAAGUUGUGCUUUUGCGUGUUGUUUCCCUAGGUAGGACAUGUUCACGAAAAAUCAAAGUGAGGAAAAAAGAACUAAAGUCCCAGAAAUGUGUAUUCUGCCUCAAUUAGAAAGCCAGCACUUGAUGCAUCUGUGGAUAGAUGAUGUGAGGCAUCUUCAAGCAACUGUAUGCAUGACAACAUGUGCAAGACAGGGAAAUAACCUAGCAGAAAAGAUUGACACCACAGUGAAAUACUGGCUUUGUGUAGGUGGCUCUGUUAUGUUAUCAGAUUUGUGCUUUUGCAGUGAUAGCCAUUUUUAGUAAGAUUAUUAAAUCUAAUCUUCUGAAAAAUGAGGAGGAGGAAGGUUUUCCAACCCUGAUUGCUAUGUAAUUCUGCACAAAUGCAGAAAAAGCACAGCACAGCACUUGAUAUUCGGUAUGCACAUAUACACUCUGCCUGAUGCAUUUUGCAGAUGAUCUUGGUGGGGUGGGUAGCAAAAGAGGUUUUGACUGUGCUGUUUUGCAAACAGCUGAAACAGUUAACUUGGGGAAAACAUGUUGUGCGUACCAUGUUUAUUAUAAUAAAAUCUUCCAUUAUAAUAAAAUCUUCAGUUUUUUUCCAA